AUGUCUUUCUCCGGCUCCUCCCACCCAAACCUCAACCAACAGGUCACGGAGAAGCUUACCCGCACGAACUAUGUUCUGUGGCGCGCCCAGAUCGUGCCGCAGCUGCGGGGCGCCGGUGUCUUUGGCUAUGCCGACGGCACCACACCGGAGUCGGCCCGACUCCUCGUCACCAAGGACAAAGACGGGAAGGAGUCCUCGACGCCCAACCCUCUCCACCCAAUCUGGGUACGGGAGGACCAGCAGGUACUUGGUUGUCUGCUCAACAAUCUGUCCAAAGAGGUUCUUGUGCAGGUGACCGCGAUCACCACGUCGCCCGCGCUCUGGGCUGCUCUGGCGGGCAUGUUUUCGUUGCAGUCUCUCAGCCGGGUGAACAACAUCCGCACGGCCCUCAUCAACGCGCAGAAGGGGAACCAGUCCGUCGCCACCUACUUCGCCCACAUGCGCGGCCUCGCGGACGAACUCGCCGCAGCCAGCAAGCCUCUGCAAGAUGACGAGCUUGUCUCCUACAUCCUCCAUGGGCUGGACAUGGACUACUAG
rnacentral:rRNA from 1 species